rnacentral:rRNA from 1 species
CACGUAGGGCGCAAGCGUUGUCCGGAAUUAUUGGGCGUAAAGAGCUCGUAGGCGGUCUGUUGCGUCCGCUGUGAAAACUCGGGGCUUAACCCCGAGCCUGCAGUGGAUACGGGCAGACUAGAGGUAGGUAGGGGAGAAUGGAAUUCCCGGUGCAGCGGUGAAAUGCGCAGAUAUCGGGGAGGAACACCGGUGGCGAAGGCGGUUCUCUGGGCCAUUACUGACGCUGAGGAGCGAAAGCGUGGGGAGCGAACAGG